UAAUGUGACAACCCUUCAGAAAACCUGUGAUACAGGAAACACAGAGCGCUGUCCAGACCCCGCCUGUGUGGCCAGUACCUGUCUCAGCUGCCCCCGUGUCUGCGUUUAAGAGUUUGGAGCACUUUACGGCUGCAUCUUUUGACCAAGAAAGUACACUUAUGGUGUAGGUUCAUAUUUACUGCAUUUACAAGUGUUUGUUGCUUGGUGAUUUCCCUUUGCCAUUUUUGGAAGUGAAUAAUACCUCUACUUCACAGAGGAGGAACCUGGUACAGGACUAAUGAAUUAAUUAUGGCCAACAUGUUGUUGGAGAGCUCCAACCAAACUGAACAAAACUGAACCAAACAGAUUAUAAACACGGCUGCAGUCACUGUCAUAUAAAUGACUGUAGUGUUUACCUCAAUGCCAGGAAUUCAAGGAAAUGAAAACAGUUUUCAUUUAUGGAAAUAAGGUUUUCCUAAUUAUACCAGUUGUUUUCAUGUGACACUAUCAGGUACCUUUUCAACAUGCUUUCUAACAGAUUAGUAAAGAUUUCUCUGAAAUUUCCUUUUCUCAUACAUACAGUUGAAUCAGUACAUUUUUACAAUAAUCAAGAGAUAAUUUAAUUCUAAAUAUCCUCAAUUCCUCUUUAUUUUUACUUAUUAUUAUUAGGGCUCCUUUGCACUGAGGUCUGAAUGACGCCACCUUUUACCUCCUCAAAACCAACUGCUCUCAUCCCUACAAAGUCUACGUAGAUCUUGGGAAAAUACCUUUCCUUGAAGCCUUACUACGUUUUGUAUUCUUUUAUAUGCAGCAUGCCAGUGUAUCUUAUUAAAAGGAUCAUCCAAGGGUUGGGUUGGGUUGGGUAUUCUCCUCUCUUCUUUAUGAACAGGUAGAUCAUUUAAGGGUAACACAGUUCCACUGUUUAGAACUGCCAUCACAGAAAUGCAACUAAUCCCUGUUGAAAGACGUUUUUAGUCCCACAAAAUACCAGGAGAACCUAAAUCUGCUACUUAAAUCAGUCAAAUUUUUAU